AUGGAUCCAACUGCUACUGGCCUGGGGUUCUAUCAUGUUGAUGUUCCUCUGCCAAGCGAAUCUAGUUGGCUGAAUUACAAAAAUUGUGCUGUUCUGAGAGUAAUGAAAGGUGAAGUUUCUACUUCUGAGUUGCUUGUUCAGUUAAAUGGAAUUUUCUGCAAAAACAAGGAGUGGCCCUGGCAGAUCAGAGAAUUGGAGGAGAAGAAAUUCUUGCUUAGAUUUCCUCCAUGGAAGAAUGUGGAAGACCUGAUUGAGUUCCCAGCAUUUAAUCUUUCUAAUGAUGGUGUUUCAGUUAAGAUCUGCGAGUGGGAAGGGAUGCUUGAUGAAUUUGGAGAACUGAAAGAAGCUUGGGUGGUUGCUAAUGGAAUUCCACCAAAAUGGUGUGCUUGGAAGGUUUUUGCGCAAGUUGCUGGAUGUUUUGGCAUCCUUGUGGAUGUGGAUUGGAAUGGCAUUUUCAAGAGCUUCUAUGAAACAAUCAGAAUCAAGAUAGCUUGUAGAGAUCCUUGCAAAAUUCCUUUUGAGAGACUGGUGGAGAUGAAGAAGAAACUCUACCUGUUAUUUUUCACUGUAGAGGGUUUUGAGCAAGUUGGUGAAGAAUCAGAUGGGAAUGAUGAGGAUCCUGGUCAAGAUAAUGAAGAUGGAGGAAAAGAAAAGCUGGAUGAGGAUCUGACUGAUAAGGAUUCAAUGGAAGAUAACAAAGAGGAGCCUUUUGAUGGAUUGGACAGAGCAAACUUCACAUCCACACAGAAAACUAACUCAGGUCCUAGCAAACAAGUGCAGCAGGUCUCUGUUUCUACAGAGGAGUUUCAUCCAGUAAACAUGAAUGAUGAGGUCCAUGACAACUUCUUGGAGGAAAUCAAUAAAAGUGGACAUAGAGACAAUGAGAAACCUGGGUCUGAACCAGAGUUCGGCACCCCGUGCUCAUAUCACCUGCUUCCUGAAGAUACUGAGAAAAUUCCUAUGUCUGUAUGUACAUUUGGAAUACUGCUCUGA
rnacentral:rRNA from 1 species